CACAAUAUUGUCAGUGAGAAUUAGCCAAUUAGCAAGCUCCUUGCCAUGCUACCAGCUCCUGGUCAAGCACUGGUCAAGCACGGAGUUCCAGUUCUGCUUUCCAUUGCUUGCAGUGACGCUCUGUCUAACCUCUCCCCUAGUUAUGACAGGACAGGGAGUUUUGGAGAUUUUGUGGUUUUGCUCUUCCUGUUCUGUGGAUUAAUUUAGCCUGUAUCUGAGGGGAUUUUGUACCAGUAUCUCUGAUUCACGUCUUCCCCUUGUCCAGGGUACACGGAUGUUUGUAGGGGAAAGGUCGGCUCCUAACUUUGCUGUUUCAAGCAGUUUGCAGUUAGCUAAGGCACAGCUUCCCUUUGAUUCAAAAUGGAUUUUAAAAUACUGUAAGCCCUGAUUAUGUGUGAGCAUAUAUGAAUAUAUUGAUUACUGAUAACUGAUUAUAUGGAUAGCAUAGGGUAGCCCUUCUUCCUGGCCUCAUUCCCCCCUUUUCAAGCUCAGAUAGAAGAUUCAUCUGACUCCUGAGCUUGAACACCACUCUGGACAUCAGAAUAAACCACUGUUUCCUGUAAGGGGACCUGUUCCUGCACUGGGACUGGUUCCCUAUGCAUUCGCUCGUAACCAUCAUCUUCCUCUGGCUCCUCUGGCACUGGGGGCAAAGCUCGAUAUAUCGCCAGAAUCUGAGGGUCAGUGAGAUGCUUAACAUUGUGGGCUAUCAUUCCCCUAAGCAAAGACAGACAACAAGGGAUUACAGAAAGAAGCAACAGAAAAAUAAAUCCUCCUAUAGCUAAGGCAGUCAGAAGGCUAAGCACCCACCCCUCUCCUGGGAUCCAGGACCACAUCUUUUCCCAGGGAUUCUGAGUGGGUGUGUUGUCAGCUACCAGAGAUUGCAGUUUUUGCAGUUCGUCUUCGAUUGUCUUGUUAAGGUCAUGGAAUUUAACCUGGCAUUGACCUUUUGGGACAAUUUUACAAAAACCGCCCGAACGUGCAAGGAGGUAGUCCAAAACUAAUCUAUGGGUCAUCGUCAAUUGAUUCAAAUCCUCAACCUCAGCCUGCAGGGAGCGCAAGACACGGGUGGUAGCAUUGAUAGUUUUCUCCAGCCUGCAUGUAAGAGCAAACAGUGCCUCUCUAUUUUGCUCAGAAACUAUUCCUGGGUGAAUUCCCAUUGAGAGGAAUCCUAUAAAUCCUCCCCUAACGCUCCCUACAGAAUUUGACAGAAAAAUUUCAUCUUCACAGUGCUCGCCUAGGGCUGCCCUUUUCCAUCUGCUUCCAAGGUGGGGUACCUGGUGAUUGACCUCCACCGUGACCGGAAAGGUAAAUGCGCCCCCGCCGACACACUGGAAAUUUCCUGGGUGGAAAUUUGUUGCCAAUCCAUCAUAUAGAAACCAAAGGUUAGGAUCUUUAAUCAUCCAGCCAGAACAAAUGGACCCUUGUCCAGUGAAAUUAACCGAAUACUGAGGAAAGUAUGGGUACAAAUCUGAAGAGGUAGUAUUGCCCUGGUAGGAGGCAUUGUGGGAACCCCAAAGCCAAAAUUUAUCAGUGCAUUGGGUAUAAUUUCCCAGCCAUCCUUUGUCAAUGUGGUACUUAACUUGGGGCCAAUACUUCCAUUUGGAAUUCCAUACUCCUGUGGAAUGACAACAAAACAUAGGCCUUUUGUGGUUCUGGUGUAUCGGAUGUAUCGGUAGGGGAUGUCAUUCAUUUCAGAAGGUGGGGCUGCAAAGAGGCCACUCUGAUUGUAAAGCAGGCCUGCCAAAACAACAUCAGGAUCCUUGAUUAAUCCUGGUAUAAGGGACAUGUCUGCCACCUUCCUUGGGUGUUCAUAAUAUAAGGUAGCAUUCUCCCCAUAUAUUUGGAACAUGUGUUCAGCAUGCUUUAUAAAGGCAUUACCCACUACCAUUGGGCCUCUCUGGAGCCACAAGCACAUCAAGAUCAACAGAAGCUUCAUCUUCAUUUUCCCCCUGUAGGCCUUCAGGGUUGAACCUUAUCAAUUCUGGCUCUAGGUUGAUGUCACUACUGGUUUUUUUUUUUUAAUGAUAUUUAUUGAAAAUUUUAGAAUUACAAAAGAAAACAAAAAAGAAAAAAGAGAGAAAAAAACAAAGAAAAAACAAACCACAAUCAAACAAUACAGAUUAAUAAAAAUCAAAAUCAGAAAAUAGCACAACACGCUCAAAAAACAAAAAUAUACCACAAACAUUUAAAAACAAAUCCAAUAUUCUCAAAUCCUUAACUGUCAUUACCUUCUUUCUUUGACCUCCUCCUCCUCCCUUUUUUUGUAUCCUGGUUAUUAAUUGUCGUAGCAAAUCCUUUCCAUAUUUCAUAAUAUUCUGUCAUUACUUUACCUUAAUCUAUUUUAAUCUUAUCUUACUAUAAAAACCUUAAAGCUUAAAACUUAAAUCUUAUUUUUACCAAUUUCUCAUAACCAUAAUAUUCUUACAUAAUUCUUUAAACAUUUUUGCUAAAGCCAAAUAAUUUCGUUCCAACAUUUUUCUAACAUUCAUCAAUUUUAUAAAACAAUCCUAAUAAAAAAACCCAAAAAAACCAACAACAAUCCAAUCUUCAUCCAGCGUCUCUUCCUCCUGGUCCCGGGUUUUGUCAGUCCUUUCUAUCUCAUCAAUCUAGCGCAUUAACCUGGCAGUCUUAUGUCCGAGGCCCUUAAGUCCCUUCCAUGUCCCUUCCGCAGCUCUUCUUCAUAUUUAUAGCUGUAUUUUCCUUUAUCUCCUGCUCCUUUCACUCUUGGGAACUCCAGCUUGACAAUGCUUUUGACCCUUCUCGACAAAUCAGCCCCUUUUCCAUAGUCCAGACUAAGCUCCAUGUGGUAUUUAAGAACAUGUUUCAAAGUCCCUCCAAAAUUACGAGCCCCCACAACCCCAAACAUCUCAUGGCCCAUUGCCAGACUUGAAAAGUCCAAACCUCCCUGCAUAGGGGGGUCUAUCCAACCCCCCAUUUCCAAACCAAACCAAACUUUAUCUUUCCAAAUCUGGCUUUUUCCAAGUUCAUUUGUCAAAUCCAAGAAUUCAUGUUCCUGCUGGGCCACAACUCCCUCCAUCUCUGGCGCCCAAGAUUCAGCAACAUCCUCUUCCCUCAUCUGUUCUGUCCGGGCACACUCCUGAUCUGAUUCCUGGCCGGGCUCUAUAUAAUUUCCCACUGCCUGUCCAAAAUUUCUGAUCGCAUCAGUCAUAAAGUCCGUCUUCUCAUGUAGCUGUUCCAGUAGGGCACUUGUUUUACAGAAAGCACACAACAGAGCUUCUGAAUACAUUGUCCUGCAAGGUCAGAAGUCUAUUCCCACGAUCGUAAUCUGUAACAGCUGCAAGCUCCCCGAUUCAGAAUUAGUUACAGUUUCACAGGCUCCCUCUAGGGGAAGAACUGUUUGUUCUUUUCUUUUAAAGACAGAUCUAACAACAAAGUUUCCUUUUUCAGAUAUUUUGUCAAUAUUUGUUCCUUUAAAAUGCGAAGGGGAACAAUGGAAUCACUAUGUUUCUCUUCUUUUAGCUAUCUGUCAGAAACGUUUGUCUCUGGUCAAUGAGCUUCAAAAAAUGUCAGUCCUGACACCCGCUCCAGGAUCAAGACAGUGGAAAGUUACUUUGCAUUACACUCACUUCUGCAGGUUUAAACAGUCCGGAAAAAAUCCCCCCUCUUCUCCUGCUUCCGAAGGGGGUUCAACAAUUUUAAAUGAUGAAAGUUAAUCCUUUACAAGCGAUUUUCAGAACUCUAGUUUGCCAUGUCUUUGCUUUAAUCUAUCUACAAAGAAACGGAAGGCUGACUUUCUGUUUAGACCUUCCCGUUUCAGUGCCAAAUUAAAAUAAACUUUUAAGUCCAAUUUUCCUUUCAGCUCACAAAUCCUUAUUUAGAGUCCAAUUGUCCGAAAUUUAAGUACUCACAGGUGAUUAUUUUAAAAGCCAAAUUGUCCCAGGAAAAAGGCAGCGCUCUCCGGCAACGGCUGUGCGGCUACACUCCACGGAAGAAGCAGUUGACUCUCAGCACCGCGCCACUUCCCCCUCUUCGCUCCGGAGCCCGUUAGUGGAUUCCUUUGCGGGUUGGGGGGGCGCUAAAGGUGCCCGCCGAGUCCCAUGGUCACAGGCUUCAUCCGCCUGUGAUUUUUGAGUGGGUCCCCGCUUCGCUGUAGCGGAAAAGACCCGUUUCUCAUGGAGCUGGUCCCUCCAGAUCAGAGGGAGUCCGCCAUUACCGAUGGCGCCACCCCGGAAGUCUGAUGUCACUACUGUGAUCCUCCUUAUAUAUACAGAAUAGAAUAAUCAGGACCAGAAGGAGUGAAGUUGCAACAAUUAUAUAAGGUAGCAGGUACCAGAACAUACCUUUAGGCGAGAUAUAGCCUCCCGCUCGGCCGCACCCAGUGGACUUAUUAGUGGUCCCCAGGUUCUGGUCGAGCUGGUGAGGUCAACUCACACUGUAUACACUCUGCAACUGCUACCUUGAAGGGACCUGUGGGUGGUGGAGGGGAAAAAACUACAGUGACCAGUAUAGCGCAGGGAAAUGCCCCUUGGGGAGGUGGGUAGGAGAAGCUGCGUAUGGCUCUCCUUGGUUCCCCUGGCAUGUACUCUUCCCCUUGUAUGUGAAACUAUUGUCUCGGACCUGCUUGUGCCCAAUCUGGUAUGUAGAAUUCCCAAAGAAAGAAAGGGAUGUAACAACCGUAUGCAGUUACCCAAUCCACCCACUUGUCACGAAUGUCCCACCUUUUAUCUACCCUUGUUAUUGUUAUUUGUACUAAGGGUUUAUAUGCAAAGUCUGGCUGAAAUCUGGGAUUGACUGAUAUUUUAACUGGUAGGGGUCCUCCCAUACGCUGGUGCAGCUCCCAAAUCUUCCGGUGUGCGUAGACUCACUGGCUUCCGGGUGCAGUGAGAGCAGACCUGUAGUCCCGUUGCCCGUGCUCCUGCCCGCUUCCGGAGAGGCCAGGUGCAGGGGUUCCUGGUGAACUUCAACUUCAGAGGGUCAGACGGGUUCAGCUCACAGUUCCAAUGACCCUCAGACUGCUUCAGACGAGAAUGAUGAAUCCACGGGGUUACUUCCGCUACCUUUACCGCUGUAGGCGUGGCCAGCAGAACUGUGUAGGGACCUCUCCACCGAGCCGUCAGUGGUUCGCUUUUCCACUCUCGCACCCAAACCUGGUCUCCCGGGCGGAAAGGAUGGACUGGAUUGGCCAAGCUGAUGGGAGUGCGUUCGAGACACCACCUGUUUAAAUCAAGAGAAAUACGACAAAGAGCCUGGAUUUGCUCUGCUGUUAUCUGCCCCCCCACCUGAGUUAAAUCUGCUGUUAUUCCCGUGGCUAUUGGAGGAGGUCUCCCAUACAAAAGUUCGAACGGGGAAAGUUUCAGUCUCUUUGUUGGUGAACAUCUGAUCCUAAACAAAGCUAUAGGCAACAAGUCUACCCAUUUACAAUGAGUUUCCUGGCACAAUUUUGCUAACUGUGUUUUGAGAGUCUGAUUCAUCCUUUCUGUUUUUCCUGAGCUUUGAGGUCUAUAGGCCGCAUGUAGUUUCCAUUGUAUUUGCAAGGCUUUGCAUACACCAUCCACUAUUGAUGCAACGAAAGCUGGAGCAUUGUCACUGCCUAUACAUCUUGGUAGACCAAACCUUGGAAUGAUUUCUGUUAGGAGGCAUUUUACGACUUCCCGGGCUUUUUCUGUUCUAGCGAGAUAAAUUUCAGGCCAGCCCGUGAGAGAGCAUGUGAAGACCAAAAGAGCUUUAUACCCUCUUGCCUUAGGCAUUUCCGUGAAAUCCACUAUUAAAUUCUCCAUUGGCAUUAAGCCUGUUUGCUGUAUUCCUGGUGGAGGUACUGGGCCUUGCUUGGGGUUGUUUUUUGCACACAGAAGGCAUGCACGUGAUACUGCUUCAGCCAGCUGGGAUAUCCUAGUUAUGUAAAAUUGUCUAUUCAGGCUUUCCCGCAAUGCUGUGGCCCCAUAGUGAGUGGACUCAUGAUAUUGUUUUACUAUGUCCCUGCCUAAGGCUUCUGGGACAAAUACUCGCUGGUCUGGUAGGAUAAACCAUCCAUCCUGUGGUGGCCCUCUUGUAGGGCCCAUUUUGCUUCUGCCUCCGUGUAAAUGGGUUUUAUUUGCUCUACAUCAACUGCUGUAGGAAAGGAGAUAAAGCAAAUCCUCUGUGGCCUUUUUAUAAGUCUCAUAGCUAUCACAUCCAAGCAAUAAAUCAUCCAGGAAUUGAAGAAGAAUCGUUUUCCCAGGUACUGAAGGGAAUUUAGACAAAUCCUGGGCUAGGGCUGUUCCAAAAAGUGUUGGCGAAUUCUUGAAUCCCUGAGGUAAUCUGGUCCACGUUAACUGGGUUUUUGUCCCCUUGUAAGGAUCCUCCCAUUGAAAUGCAAAUAUUGGCUGGCUCUGAGAUGCAACGCGGCAACAGAAAAAUGCAUCUUUUAAGUCCAACACUGUAAACAUGGUUGCCUCUGAUGGAAUCAAUCCUAGGAGAUUAUAAGGAUUGGGCAAACAGGGAUGCAGAGUCUGUAUUAAAUUAUUAAUCCUUUUCAGAUCUUGGACUGGGCGAAACUGAUCAGAAUUAGGCUUACGUACUGGAAAAAGUGGAGAGUUUCAGCUGGAUUGGCACUUUACCAAAAGUCCAUAUUGCAAUAACUUGUCUAUGUGCAUCUGCAUUCCCUCUGCUGCUUGUCUUGGGAUAGGGUAUUGCCGAGUUGCUAUUGGCUUUGCCCCUGGCUUUAGGUUUAUUACGAAUGGUACUAUGUUCUUUGCCAUGCCUGGUGGGUUGUCCUCUGCCCAUACUCCAGGUGGGGCUCUCAGAUUUUUAGGAAUCUGUGAUUUUUCCUUUUGGGAGUCCUUACUUGAUAAAGCCAUCAUCAUUUUCCAGGCCUGUUCUCUAGGGACCUCUACUGUAACAAUCCCUGUAGCAGCCUGGGGUAAUUUCAUUUCUGCCCCUUUUGGUGUGAAGGUAAUUUGGGCUUGAACCUUUGAUAGAAAGUCACGUCCCAGCAAGGGGAUGGGGCAUUCAGGCACAUACAGAAAUUGAUGUGUAAGGGUUUUCCCUCCAAUCUGGCAUUCUUGAGGUUGCAAAAACGGUUUAAGGACCCUGUUGCCCGUGGCCCCCACAAUUGUUACUGCUUGGUUGCUUUUCGCUUUUAACGGCUUCGUGAGCACCGAAAAUUGUGCUCCAGUGUCAAUCAUGAAAUUUACUAAGGCCCGAAAAAGACCCAAUAUGGAGGCUAAAUGGCCAAAAUAUUGGGAAAUACUAGAAAAAGAUGGAGACAAUUGGAAAUUGCAGAGUUUGGAGAAAAUGAAAGACAAAGUGCGAGAUUGGUUACAUUACGCUCAGAUUAAAGAAGUUUUUAAAAAUGAUAAGAAACUAGGGUUCCAGGUGGAGAAAUCGAAAUUAGAAACAGAAUUGUUAGAACCAAAGACUAAGGUACUUUCAAGGAUGUAUAACUUGCUGUUGGAAUGGAAUACACAAGAUGAAAUGGUUAAAUCGGCUAUGAUAAGGUGGGCACAGGACAUUGGGUAUAAUAUUAUGUUUGAGGACUGGGAAAAGUUGUGGAGUAAUGGAUUGAAAUUUACUGCAUGUAACGCUCUGAAAGAAAAUGUAAUGAAAAUGAUUUAUAGAUGGUAUAUGACCCCAGUUAAACUUGCAAAAAUUUACCACCUGUCUGAUAAUAAGUGUUGGAAAUGUAAAGAGUGUGAGGGAACGUUCUUCCACCUCUGGUGGACCUGCCCUAAAGUGAAGGUGUUCUGGGAAAUGAUUUAUAAUGAAUUGAAAAAGGUAUUUAAAUAUACCUUUACCAAGAAACCAGAGGCUUUCCUUCUGGGUAUUGUCAGCCAAGGGGUGGCAAAGAAGGACCAGACAUUUUUAUGUAUGCAACAACAGCAGCAAGGAUACUUCUUGCAAAACAUUGGAAAACUCAAGAUUUACCCACACUGGAAGAAUGGCAGAUGCAACUGAUAGACUACAUGGAACUGGCUGAAAUGACCGGCAGAAUCCGUGACCUGGGAGAAGAGAGAAUCGAGGAGGAUUGGAAGAAAUUUAAGAACUAUCUACAAAAAUAUUGUGAUUUGAGUGAAUGCUAAAUAAGAUGCUAGACUAAAUAACUGAGCACCACUUAACUUAGAAGUUUUUAAGAAAAUAAGUAAGACUGUGAAAGUUUAACUCUUUAUGAGAACUAUAAGAUUAUGAAACAUUGAAGAGAUAUAAGAUUUUAAAUAAGAUGAUAAAUUGCUGACAAAAUGUUAUAACGAUGAAAGUGGGAGCGGGGAUGUGAGGAAGUCCAAAGAAAAUGUGAAACUAUGUUAAGACAAAUGUUAUAUUGUUUAUUAUGUUUAUUCUUAUUGUAAAACCCAAUAAAUUGCUUUAAAAAAAAAAAAAAAAUCAUGAAAUUUACUAAGCGGCUCCCCAGUUUGACCGAGACCAUGGGCUCUUGGGAGCCUAAAGAAAGAGUUGAGCCCGGUCUGUCCUAUGCGUUCUCAUUCUCAUAUUCCUCCAAUUGCGCUAAUCCAACAAAAUCUCUGCUACUUCCUCUGUUCCUCACAUAUCUUCCUGCUUGCAUCCUUCCUUGCUGCGAUCCCCAUCCACGUCCACGUUCCCUCUGUUCCCUGAAUCCACCUUCUCCCUCUGUUUCCCUUGCAUCAGGGCACUCCUGUUUCCAAUGACCUUCCUUCCUGCAAAUUGCACACUGAUUCCUUCCCAAUGGCAGUCCCCUUCCUCUUCCUCUUCCACGUGCCCUAUUUGAACCUCUCCUUUGGGCACCUGUAUCAAAUGCUGAGCCUUGGCUGAUGGCUGCAGCCAAAAACACUGCCUUUUGCUUCAUUUCCCGAACUCUGUCCUUCUUAACCUCAUUUUCCCUGUUCAAGAAAACCUUUUGAGUGAUUGCUAGGAGCUGUUCCAUUUGCAAUGUUUCAAAGGCGUCUAACUUUUGUAAUUUCCUCUUUAUGUCCGAAGCACUCUGAGCCACAAAUGCCGCAUUUACCAUUUGCUAACUUUCUGGGGCUUCUGGAUCAAAAGGGGUAUAAAUUCUAUAUGCCUCCAUUAAGCGUUCCAAAAAAUUGGAGGGAGAUUCAUCACUAAGUUGAACAAUUUCAGAGACUUUAGAAAUAUUUGUAGGCUUCCUGGCAGCACCCUUUAUAGCUUUUAAAACUUCCUGCCGAUAAUUGUCCAAGGCGUCCUUAUCCCUAUCAGGGUCCCACCCUGGAUCUGAAAGAGGAUAUCUGGCACGAACCCAAACAUCCGGAUUAUUUUCAGAAUUGGGCACCUGGGCUUUGAGAUUGUUGUCUGCAGUGGUAUUUAUUCUUCUCCUUUCCUCAGAGGUGAAAAGGGUCAUUAAAAGAUGCCUGCAAUCCUGCCAUGUAGGCAGAUGGGUUACCAUAAUGGAAGCAACUAAAUCCAGCAUGGCCUGAGGUUUUUCCGAAAAAGGUACCGUAUGUGUUUUCCAAUUCAAUAAAUCUGUUGUUGUAAAAGGGACAUAUUGGAGUGUGACUGUUCUUGCAGGCCCAGGGUCCAGUUGGUCUGCCAUUGGCAUCCACAGGACGUGGAUCUUGGGGCCCUAAGAUUGCCCUCAGGGGAAGCAUCGGCGCUGGUGCCCCCUUGUUAUUUCGCAAAUAAUAACCUCCCUUAGAAAAACUAGGCGAGGCCAGGCUUUGAGAUGUGCUAGGCAAAUCAGUUUCUCUCAUUUUUAGGACCAAUUUCUGUCCAGAAUCUGUAAUAGCAUCCAUCAGUUUCCAUAAUUUUGAACUGUCAUGGCUUUCUGGGGUUUUCAAAGAAUUAAUUUGUUCUCCCCAUGCUCCAGACAUUUGAAAUGUGCUGGUUCCUCCUUCCGCUCCCUCUGUCUGUGUCUGCCAGGCUGACAUGUCCUGGUUGAAUUUUUCCUCGGGAGGGGAGGGUAACGUGCUUUGAUCUAAAGCUGCAGUUUGUUUUGGCUGGGAAGGCAAAUCUGGAAGGCUAGGCACAUCCAGCGAUGCUUGAGGAGGUGGGGCAGCCUGUAAGGCACUAUUCGUGGCUUGUGGAGAGCUAUUUAUAGCUGGCUGAGAUCGGCUGGGCAUAGGGAUCUGUUGGGUUUGUCCUGCCGGUAUAUUUUGAGGUGCCAAUACUUGCCCUGAAGGCGGCUGUAUCGCUUGAUUUCUGUUGCUAUAGUUAUAUGGAGGGGAGGGGAUUCCCUCUUCCUCUGGAGGAGCAACAUAAAUUUCCCUGUCAGUUGCAGAAGAAUUUGUGGUUUUCCUGGCUCCCUGCCUCACAGCGAAAAUCUCACAGCUGCUACCACUUCCCUUUUCCAUUCUGAGCCACUCCGGAUUUUUUAAACAUAUUGCAAUCCAUCUAUUGAUAUAAUAAUAUUGCUCCUUAUAUAGAUCCGGUCUUUGCAUUAUUGAAUCCAAAACUGCUCGACAUAAUUCUAUUUUGAAGGUCCCUUCACGUGGCCACUUUUUAACCUGGGCGGGCCAAUCCUGUUGGCAAUAUUUCUUUAAAAUCUCCUUACUCGGUCUGACCUCUCCUGGUUCUUCUGGAAAGGCUCUUUUAAAAUUCUCUAUCAUACAUUCUAGGGGUGUACAGGCUUGAAUGUUUUUUGAACAUUUCCCCCCCAUUGUUCUUUGCAAAAAGCUUUCCCCUUUCACCAGGCAAAACACUUUCAGCCAGGCAGCUUUCAAAAAUAGAACAAGAAAAAACCACAGCACACUUCCCCCUCACUUUUCUAAAGCCCGUCUCCACUUAUUCACAGUCUCUUUUUCCUUUCUUUAAACACUCUUCCUUUUUUAACACAGUCCUUACUCAUUCAACCACAAGUCCCGGGACGCUCUUUCAUUCGAUCAUACACACACAGCCCUUUUCGCCCCCCUUUGCCUGCGGCGAAACAACCUGGCAGAGAAACACACACACACACACACACAGCGCUUUUUAAAAUCUCCCUCACCCCCCACAGCUGUUUUUUCUCCCAACUUUUUCCGGCAGAAACCUUUUUCCUAUCCCUUGGCUGACCCAGCUUCUCCUCCCUUUCCCUUUCUUUUGGGAUCCUUUCCCCUUUAACGGGAGGUUACUAGUGGGUCGCUCAGAGUGGUGAUCAAGCACUCAUUAUUAUCUUAACUCACCGUGAGUUCCUUUCGUGGUGCGCCUUUCCUGUUGGCUCACGUUCAGAUUCUCCCUCGGUUGUUGCCUCUGCCCUGACGGGAGUCCACGCCGAAGGCGGUUGCCUCUCUCCUUCGGAAAUGAUGUCCGAUUGGCGCCGGGGAGGUGAAACAAGGUCCCCCGACGUGUCCUCCCGCCCAAGAGCCGGGCAAGGCUCUUUUUGGGUAAAAAAAUACCCUACUGGCCUGUAUGAUCUGAGCACGGCACCAAAUGAAGCACGUGAACGUAAGCAGGUACUCGCUUGGUGUUAAAUAAGGAUCAGGCAGACUCAGCAAUGGAGAAUAAGAAGGUGAAGUUUAUUGCCAGGCAAUAAGGACCCAGUUUGGAAUCUCUUCCAAAAGGAACUGGGACCCCGAGUGACAGAAAUCCAGGGGUCUUAUACCUGAGCAGAUCACAGCAAAUCAUAGAUCAUGAGACAACCAUGAGGGACUCACGAUAUUGUCAGCGAGAAUUAGCCAAUUAGCAAGCUCCUUGCCACGCUGCCAGCUCCUGGUCAAGCACUGGUCAAGCACAGAGUUCCAGUUCUGCUUUCCAUUGCUUGCAGUGACGCUCUGUCUAACCUCUCCCCUAGUUAUGACAGGACAGGGAGUUUUGGAGAUUUUGUGGUUUUGCUCUUCCUGUUCUGUGGAUUAAUUUAGCCUGUAUCUGAGGGGAUUUUGUACCAGUAUCUCUGAUUCACGUCUUCCCCUUGUCCAGGGUACACGGAUGUUUGUAGGGGAAAGGUCGGCUCCUAACUUUGCUGUUUCAAGCAGUUUGCAGUUAGCUAAGGCACAGCUUCCCUUUG